rnacentral:tRNA from 1 species
UCUAAUAUGGCAGAUAAGUGCAAUGGAUUUAAGCUCCAGGAAUAAAGUAUACAGCUUUUUUUAGAA